UACGGGGGGGAGCAAACGUUGUUCGGAAUCACUGGGCGUAAAGGGCGUGUAGGCGGCUGAAUAAGUGGGAUGUUAAAUCCCCCGGCUCAACUGGGGACCUGCAUCUCAUACUGUUCAGCUCGAGCACAUCAGAGGAGACUGGAAUUCCCGGUGUAGCGGUGAAAUGCGUAGAUAUCGGGGAGGAACACCAGUGGCGAAGGCGAGUCUCUGGGAUGAUGCUGACGCUGAGGCGCGAAAGCCAGGGAGCAAACGGG
rnacentral:rRNA from 1 species